rnacentral:rRNA from 1 species
UACGGAGGGGGCUAGCGUUGUUCGGAAUUACUGGGCGUAAAGCGCGCGUAGGCGGGCUGGUAAGUCGGGGGUGAAAUCCCGGGGCUCAACCCCGGAACUGCCUUCGAUACUGGCAGCCUAGAGGAAGGCAGAGGCUAGUGGAAUGGCGAGGGUAGAGGUGAAAUUCGUAGAUAUUCGCCGGAACACCAGUGGCGAAGGCGACUGGCCGGGCCUUUUCUGACGCUGAGGUGCGAAAGCGUGGGGAGCAAACAGG